AACUCGCCUCGCAUGAAGGCGGAAUUGCUAGUAAUCGCGGAUCAGCAUGCCGCGGUGAAUACGUUCCCGGGCCUUGUACACACCGCCCGUCACACCAUGAGAGUUGGCAACACCCGAAGUCAGCAGGCAAACAGUGAAGCCGCUGCCGAAGGUGGGGUUGAUGAUUGGGGUGAAGUCGUAACAAGGUAGC
rnacentral:rRNA from 1 species